AUUGAACGCUGGCGGCAGGCCUAACACAUGCAAGUCGAGCGGAUGAAGGGAGCUUGCUCCUGGAUUCAGCGGCGGACGGGUGAGUAAUGCCUAGGAAUCUGCCUGGUAGUGGGGGAUAACGUCCGGAAACGGGCGCUAAUACCGCAUACGUCCUGAGGGAGAAAGUGGGGGAUCUUCGGACCUCACGCUAUCAGAUGAGCCUAGGUCGGAUUAGCUAGUUGGUGGGGUAAAGGCCUACCAAGGCGACGAUCCGUAACUGGUCUGGGAGGAUGAUCAGUCACACUGGAACUGAGACACGGUCCAGACGCCUACGGGAGGCAGCAGUGGGGAAUAUUGGACAAUGGGCGAAAGCCUGAUCCAGCCAUGCCGCGUGUGUGAAGAAGGUCUUCGGAUUGUAAAGCACUUUAAGUUGGGAGGAAGGGCAGUAAGUUAAUACCUUGCUGUUUUGACGUUACCAACAGAAUAAGCACCGGCUAACUUCGUG
rnacentral:rRNA from 1 species